rnacentral:rRNA from 1 species
GACGAACGCUGGCGGCGUGCUUAACACAUGCAAGUCGAACGGAAAGGCCCUGCUUUUGUGGGGUGCUCGAGUGGCGAACGGGUGAGUAACCCGUGAGUAACCUGCCCUUUACUUUGGAAUAACUUCAGGAAACUGGGGCUAAUACCGGCUAGGUGCUCCUGCUGCAUGGGGGGGGUUGGAAAGUUUCGGCGGUUGGGGAUGGACUCGCGGCUUAUCAGCUUGUUGGUGGGGUAGCGGCUUACCAAGGCUUUGACGGGUAGCCGGCCUGAGAGGGUGACCGUCCACAUUGGGACUGAGAGACGGCCCAGACUCCUACGGGAGGCAGCAGUGGGGAAUAUUGCACAAUGGGCGGAAGCCUGAUGCAGCAACGCCGCGUGCGGGAUGACGGCCUUCGGGUUGUAAACCGCUUUCGCCUGUGACGAAGCGUGAGUGACGGUAAUGGGUAAAGAAGCACCGGCUAACUACGUG